ACGAAUAAAUCAUAACUGCAACUCGAAUUAUUAUUACGAUGUAUAAACGCACAAACGAACAAACGAUCGAGCCGCGUCAUUUAGAUCAGGUGCAUUUGCAAUUCACGUAUACGGUAAAAAUAGCGUACUCCUCCAUAGCUUUUACCUCCAAGGAAUGCGUGAAGAUGCGCCAAUGAUAAUUGAUGAGCGACAAUAGGACCCAAGCGAAAUUGCAGCCCCGCGAAAUCUUACGUUUUUAUUUUUGAGGACCACAAGAAAUAUUUUAAUGUAACCGCCGAUUGAAAGC